UCCCUGGUGGUCCAGUGGUUAAGACUCAGCAUUCCCAAUUCAGGGGGCUCAGGUUCAAUCCCUGGUCAGGGAA
rfam:TPA: Bos taurus chromosome 18, whole genome shotgun sequence.